UACGGGGGGGGCAAGCGUUGUUCGGAAUUACUGGGCGUAAAGGGCGCGUAGGCGGCCGCCUAAGUCAGACGUGAAAUCCCUCGGCUCAACCGGGGAACUGCGUCUGAUACUGGGUGGCUUGAAUCCGGGAGAGGGAUGCGGAAUUCCAGGUGUAGCGGUGAAAUGCGUAGAUAUCUGGAGGAACACCGGUGGCGAAGGCGACAUCCUGGACCGGUAUUGACGCUGAGGCGCGAAAGCCAGGGGAGCAAACGGG
rnacentral:rRNA from 1 species